UUAAAUGCACUGCCAUGCAUUUAAGGAUUUGAUUUUUUUUUUUUCUUUUUCUUUGAAACGGAGUUUCGCUCUUGCUGCCCAGGCUGGAGUGCAAUGGUGCAAUCUCAGCUCACCACAACCUUCACCUCCGGAGUUCAAGUGAUUCUCCUGCCUUAGCCUCCCGAGUACAGGUCACAAUAAUUAUCCCAAAAUUAACUGAAGAUGCCCACUGUUACUUCUGUUUAACCAUGUGUUAACCAUGUAGUUAUGGGAACUACAAUGACGUUCACUACCUUAGAGAAACUUACAAUCUUGGGCCAGGUGCCGCACUUCACAACUAUAAUCCUAGCACUUUGGGAGGCCGAGGAGGCUGAAUCACCUGAGGUCAGGAGCUCGAGACCAGCCUGGCUAACAUGGUGAAACCCCAUCUCUACUAAAACUACAAAAAAUUAGCUGC
rnacentral:lncRNA from 1 species